rnacentral:rRNA from 1 species
UCAAAUAAAGGAAGGCGGACGGCGGAAACCUAGGCACUCAGAGACGAUGAAGGGCGCAUUAACCGGCGAUACGCUUCGGGGAAUUGGAACUAAAUUUUGAUCCGAAGAUUCCCGAAUGGGGCAACCCCUAUGAACUCCUUUAUGAAUUCAUAAAAAGGAAGAGGCAACCCGGUGAAUUGAAACAUCUUAGUAACCGGAGGAAAAGAAAGCAAACGCGAUUUCCUGAGUAGCGGCGAGCGAAACGGAAUCAGCCUAAACUGAUUUUCAAUUUUUGGGAAUCAGGGUCGUGGGAAGACAAAUGGUUUAACUUUUAAACUAAAAACUAAUAAAACUAGUUUCUUAACGAAGCAGCUGAAUCCUGCACCAUAGAUGGUGAAAGUCCAGUAGUUAAAAUCUAAAAAUACUUGUCUUAUCCCGAGUAGCAUGGGGCACGUGAAAUCCCGUGUGAAUCAGCGAGGACCACCUCGUAAGGCUAAAUACUCCUGAGUGACCGAUAGCGAAAUAGUACCGCGAGGGAAAGGAGAAAAGAACCCCCGGAGGGGAGUGAAAUAGAACAUGAAACCGUCCGCUGACAAGCAGUGGGAGGACAAAGACUCUGACCGCGUGCCUGUUGAAGAAUGAGCCAGCGACUUAUAGGAAGUGGCUUGGUUAAGGAAAUUCAUCCGGAGCCAGAGCGAAAGCGAGUCUGAAUAGGGCGCCACUCCAAACUACUUUAGUUUUUUGGAGCCGGUCACUUCUUAUGGACCCGAACCGGGAUGAUCUACGCCUGGCCAGAUUGAAGCGUGGGUAAAACUUCGUGGAGGAUCGAACGGACCGAUGUUGAAAAAUCGGCCGAUGAGCUUGGGGUAGCGGAGAAAUUCCAAUCGAAUUCCGAGCUAGCUGGAUCUCUCCGAAAUUUGUUGAGGCGAAGCGGUGACGACGGGCUGCCUUGGGGUAAAGCUACCGUUUCGGUGCGGGCUGCGAGAGCGGUACCAAGUCGUGACGAACUCAGAAUACAAGGUAUAGCUUUCCGUCAACCAGUGAGACUACGACGGAUAAGCGCCGUAGUCAAGAGGGAAACAGCCCAGAUCACCAGCUAAGGCCCCUAAAUGGACGCUAAGUGGUAAAGGAUGUGGGAAUGCGAAAACAACCAGGAAGUUCGCUUAGAAGCAGCUAACUUUAAAAGAGUGCGUAACAGCUCACUGGUAACAGCGUUCUUGCGCCGAGAAUGGCCGGGACUAAGCGUCCUGCCGAAGCUGUGGGAUCGAGAAAACUCGUAUCGGUAGGAGAGCGUUGUGCUUUCGGGUGAAGCUUUCACGUAAGUGGUGGUGGACGAAGCACAAGUGAGAAUGUUGGCUUGAGUAACGAAAACAUUGGUGAGAAUCCAAUGCCCUGAAAACCUAAGGAUUCCUUCACUAGGCUCGUCCAUGAAGGGUUAGUCAAGGCCUAAGGCAAGGCCGAACGGCGUAGUCGAUGGAAAUCAGGUUAAUAUUCCUGAACUUAUUUAAACACCAUAGAUCCCGAGGGACGGAGGAGGCUAAACUAGGUUUGUCUAUGGAUUGCAAUGGAAGCGAUUAAGGCGUUGAGAGAUUGAAUAAAAACAAUUCUUGAGCUGAAACGUGAUCCCGUUUGAUUAAACUCUCGGGUUUGAUUGGACGCUAGUGAUGUCAUACUUCCAAGAAAAGCUCGUUCGAUUUUAGUUUAAAUAACUUGUACCUUAAACCGACACAGGUAGGUGGGUAGAGAAUACCAAGGGGCGCGAGAGAACUCUCUUUAAGGAACUCGGCAAACUGGCCCCGUAACUUCGGAAGAAGGGGUGCCCUCUUUGUUUUUUUGAAGCAAAGAGGGUCGCAGUGCCAAGACCCAAGCGACUGUUUACCAAAAACACAGGUCUCUGCAAAGUCGUAAGACGAUAUAUAGGGGCUGACGCUUGCCCAGUGCCGGAAGGUUAAAGGAGUUGGUUAUUCCUUCAGUGGAAGAAGCUGGCGACUGAAGCCCCGGUGAACGGCGGCCGUAACUAUGACGGUCCUAAGGUAGCGAAAUUCUUUGUCGAGUAAGUUUCGACCUGCACGAAAAGCGUAACGAUUUGGGUGCUGUCUCAAAGAGAGGCUCGGUGAAAUAGACUUGUCCGUGAAGAUGCGGACUACUUAUAUCAGGACAGAAAGACCCUAUGAAGCUUGACUGUAGUUUGGAAUAGGGUUCGGGCUUUUCUUGCGCAGUCUAGGUGGGAGGCAUUGAAGAUUUCUUUUCGGGGAAAUCAGAGCCAUCAGUGAGAGACCACUCUGGAAGAGCUAGAAUCCUAAUGGCGUUCCUUGAAUCAGGACGCUUGACAGUUUCAGAUGGGCAGUUUAUUUGGGGCGAAUUUCUCCUAAAAGGUAACGGAGAAGCGCAAUGGUCCCCUCAACCUGGACGGAAAUCAGGCAUUGAGUGCAAAGGCAUAAGGGGGCUUAACUGAAAGACUUACAAGUCAAACAGAGGCGAAAGCCGGCCUUAGUGAUCCGACGGUUCCGUGUGGAAGGGCCGUCGCUCAACGGAUAAAAGUUACUCUAGGGAUAACAGGCUGAUCUUCCCCAAGAGUUCACAUCGACGGGAAGGUUUGGCACCUCAACAUCGGGGCUUUUUUAUAGUAAUAUAAAAAAUGAAUUUAGCUAUAUGCUGGAAUAUCCGUGUCCUACGAGGACUGCAGAGAUCUUAUGGUUUUAGACUAUAGUAAAAAAAAUACAAUAGACGACACAAUAGUGUUUCUAAAAUUGAGACAUAAUGAUUGCGGACAAUCAGCAGGGAAGUGUAUACAAAGAUUUUUCAGCUUUAAUAGCCUGAUUUCGAUCUUUUAAUGACCCCUCAACGACUACACGCUGAAUAUCCUAGUUUUUGUAAAAUAAACAAAAAUGGAUAAAGAUAUAGUCUGCUCUUACAGGCAACUGUAAGUGACCUAUAAUAGGUCAGCAUAUUGAAUAAUAAAAAUAAAUUAACAGAAGGAAAAAAAUGUCAAAAUCAGUACAAAUAAUUAAAGGUUUAGGUUUAAGAGGAAAUGCGUUUAAAGCACAUUUGAAAACGAUUGAAUUAACAAGUCUUCAACGAGAAGUUUUAGUAGGUACGUUAUUAGGAGAUGCUUCAUUUUCAUUAGACAAGAAAAGACCUAAAUAUAGUGUGAAGUUUGAACAAGGAAAAAAAAAUGAAGCGUAUGUUCUACAUUUAUUCAAAAUCUUUAAACCGUUUGUAGGUACUGGGCCAGUAGAAAGGGAAAUUAAUAAAAAUAGAGCACCAAGUGAAGAAGUACGUUAUGCAGUAUGGUUUCGGACUUAUCAACAUGACUCUUUAAAAUAUUAUUACCAUUCGUUUUAUAAACAAGUGCUGGAUCCUAAAAAUCCUAAGCUUGUAUUAAAGAAAACUAAAAUUGUUCCAAAAAACAUUGGUAAAUUACUGACCCCAAGAGCUAUAGCAUAUUGGUUUAUGGAUGAUGGAUCUUAUGAAAAUCAAACGUGUAUGUUGAACACACAAGGUUUUGAAGAAAAAGAAUCACAAUUACUUUGUGAUAUUUUACUCGAAAAAUACGGUAUUGAAGCAGCCCUAAGUAAUAACAAAGGGAAAAAAAGAAUACGUAUUCGCACUUGUUCUGCGACUGUUUUUCGAAACCUUGUUGAACCUUAUGUAAUUCCUCAUUUUCGCUAUAGAUUGAUUAAUCUUUAGUAACUUCGAUGAAUAAGUUUUAUUUUUGGAUAUAUGAAACACUAGACGAUGUCGGCUUUUCUUAUCCUGGGGCGGUAGUACGUCCCAAGGGUUGGGCUGUUCGCCCAUUAAAAAGGAACAUGAGCUGGGUUCAGAACGUCGUGAGACAGUUCGGUCCAUAUCCGAUAUGAGCGUUGGAGUAUUGAGAGGAGCUCCAUAUAGUACGAGAGGAUCUAUAGGGGACGCACCAAUGGUAUACCAGUUCUUGUUCCAACAGGAAACGCUGGGUAGCUACGUGCGGAGCGGAUAACUGCUGACAGCAUCUAAGUAGGAAGCCCACCUCAAGAUUAUUACUCCCUUUGAGGUCACGAAUAGAUAAUUCGUUAUAUAGGCGUCAGGUGUAAGGCCCGUGAAGGUUUUAGCUAAGACGUACUAACGACCGAUAGAUUUUGACUC